UACGGAGGGUGCAAGCGUUGCUCGGAAUUAUUGGGCGUAAAGGGUAGGUAGGUGGUCUCAUUUGUCUGGGGUGAAAGCCUUGAGCUUAACUCAAGAAGUGCCCCAGAAACGGUGAGACUGGAGUCCUGGAGAGGGUCGUGGAAUUCCCGGUGUAGCGGUGAAAUGCGUAGAGAUCGGGAGGAACACCAGAGGCGAAAGCGGCGACCUGGACAGGUACUGACACUCAACUACGAAAGCGUGGGGAGCAAACAGG
rnacentral:rRNA from 1 species